UUGUGCUGCUUCCGAUCGUGGCACCGUACGCCCGCACGGCGCAAGUCGUUGCGGGGUCGUUUCGGUGAUCACUCGGCGCUCGCGGGGGUUAUGCCGACCGCGGUGGGCCGCACUUCUCCCUCAGUAGGACGUCGCGACCCGUUGGACGGCGGUCGACGGCCCCGGCGGUAGCCCGGGACGCGGGAAAGCUUCUGCCGUACCGUGCUCCC